CUAUCGCUGCUCUCAGGUCCAAGCCGAGCAAAGCGGCUUUGGUGUCCUCUAAGCGGCUUUGGUGUCCUCUGUGUGAUCUGCCACGUCUUAAAAGAGCACCUGCGAAAGCCCAACCAGCUGGGCUAGCUGGAGUCACCAGCGAUAUGGAUGAAGCCCAGCACCCGUUCAAAGAAAUGCCUCAAAGAUAUGUGUCUUCAGUUUGAAGAAUAGAGCAUGGGCCGCAUUCAUGUCUUACUAAGCUACCACAUGAAUGCUACUGUGAAAGUCAGGUUCAAUGGGCACAAUUAUGAUCUAUGUGGCCGAUCAGCAUUCUUUCUGUAGAUCAGAUGGGAUCUUGUAGUCCAAUGAGCAAAUUUGAUAAUUGUUCAUGUAAA